ACAGCACUGCCAGAAGCAUACAAGACAGAGUUUAGUGACGACAAUCAACAUUACACUGGCUUCAUUUUCAAAUACGGGGCCAACUCUAUCUUUGCUAAAAGAAUCUAUGUUGUGAAUCGACAGAUCGUGCUCAAGCUUUUGAAGCAGACCCAAGAAAUUAAGUUAACUGUUGAAAGAACUGAAAAAGAAGUACUCUGACAAGAGGAAUUAUGGCAGAGAGGACUACAGAACAUCUAACAACCAACACCCUCUACACACCACCUUCAAGCACACCGGUAAGCGACGAUACAGACCCCCAGAUGGACGUAGAACUACAAUACACCCACGAAAAAAAGCAAUACACCCAUGAAGAAACGCAAUAUACCCACCAAUGGAGCAAGCACAAGAUAGAAAAAAUAAGAGCACAUAAAAAGUAUCACCAAGAAAUGGUAACAUUUCUUGGUGAGUUAGAAGAACAAGGCCCCAGCGUUAAUUUAUCAAUACCCAAAAAACCAAAAGGAAAUAUUCGAUCUCUAUUAGAUAAACAAACAACGUCUAAGCUUACUGGAAAUGAUCUGCAUCUAUGUUUAAUUGGUAACUUAAAAGAAGACUCUUCUCAGGAAAGCCGCUGUCCUUUAGGUGAAUUAUCUGAAGUAAAAAACCUGGAGACAGCCCGUAAUUAUCUUGUAGCUGCCUAUGAUAGAGUUACGCGACAUGAGGCCCUCACAAUCCGUUAUUAUCUGGACUAUGGAAGAGCACUUCAUAUUGCUCAUGCAAUUCAUGCUUAUGAGCAACCAUUACAAUCCUGGGAAGACUGGGUUAAAGACAACGUAGGUAUCCAGCGGUCUUACGCGAAUAAGCUACGCGUGAUUUCACAUUUAUUAUGCGACUAUCCCUUGUUUAGGCUAUUGGGACUACCAUUUUAUAAACUUUACAGCCUUAGAAAAGAAAUUAAACUUAUGUUGCAAGUCUCACAUAUCGCCAAUAUUUGGAAACAAAGUACAUAUAGGACUACCUGAUUAUACAUUGUUUUAUCAUGACGUUAGUCGAUAUGGUUUUGUAUAUAACCCAUCGGGUACAAAAUGUGUACAAAGGCACUGGUUGUCACGAUAAGGCUGAUCGUUAAAUGAAUCAUCAAAGUAGUUUACAUGACAAGUAUUCUUUUGUAUUUGGUCCUAGUAUGACCAUUUAACAAUGGAGUGUGGUUUUUGGUAAAAGGCUGAUCGUUAUAUGAACCAUCAAAGUAGUUUACAUGACAAGUAUUCUUUUGUAUUUGGUCCUAGUAUGACCAUUUAA